GAUGAACGCUUUCUUCUUUCCUAAUACAUGCAAGUCGAGCGAACAGAUGAGGAGCUUGCUCCUCUGACGUUAGCGGCGGACGGGUGAGUAACACGUGGAUAACCUACCUAUAAGACUGGGAUAACUUCGGGAAACCGGAGCUAAUACCGGAUAAUAUAUUGAACCGCAUGGUUCAAUAGUGAAAGACGGUUUUGCUGUCACUUAUAGAUGGAUCCGCGCCGCAUUAGCUAGUUGGUAAGGUAACGGCUUACCAAGGCAACGAUGCGUAGCCGACCUGAGAGGGUGAUAGGCCACACUGGAACUGAGACACGGUCCAGACUCCUACGGGAGGCAGCAGUAGGGAAUCUUCCGCAAUGGGCGAAAGCCUGACGGAGCAACGCCGCGUGAGUGAUGAAGGUCUUCGGAUCGUAAAACUCUGUUAUUAGGGAAGAACAAAUGUGUAAGUAACUAUGCACGUCUUGACGGUACCUAAUCAGAAAGCCAAGGCUAACUACGGG
rnacentral:rRNA from 1 species